UCUACGAGGUCUUGACUGCUCACUGGGGGUGCUGACUCCAGACUCUGUGCCACAGAUCAACUUUGAAAAAAUGCAUUAUCCUUUCCUUCCUCAAGUGACAUAACAGCAAGCCCAGAUCACGCCUUUUUAAACUAUGAGAAAAAUUUUAAGAAAUUUGUCCUCUGGGCCCCUA